rnacentral:rRNA from 1 species
UACGUAGGGAGCAAGCGUUAUCCGGAUUUACUGGGUGUAAAGGGCGCGUAGGCGGGAGUGCAAGUCAGAUGUGAAAUCUGGGGGCUCAACCCCCAAACUGCAUUUGAAACUGUACUUCUUGAGUGAUGGAGAGGCAAGCGGAAUUCCUAGUGUAGCGGUGAAAUGCGUAGAUAUUAGGAGGAACACCAGUGGCGAAGGCGGCUUGCUGGACAUUAACUGACGCUGAGGCGCGAAAGCGUGGGGAG